rnacentral:rRNA from 1 species
CGUCGGUUCUGUUUUGUUGGUUUCUAGGACCGCCGUAAUGAUCAAUAGGGACGGUCGGGGGCAUCAGUAUUCGGCCGCGAGAGGUGAAAUUCUUAGACCGGCCGAAGACUAACUACUGCGAAAGCAUUUGCCAAGGACGUUUUCGCUGAUCAGGAACGAAAGUUAGGGGAUCGAAGACGAUCAGAUACCGUCGUAGUCUUAACCAUAAACGGUGCCGACUUGGGAUCGGGCGCUGUUCUUUCUAGACGCGCUCGGCACCAUUCGAGAAAUCAAAGUGCGUGGGCUCCAGGGGGAGUAUGGCGGCAACGCUGAAACUUAAAGAAAUUGACGGAAGGGCACCACCAGGGGUGGAACCUGCGGCUUAAUUUGACUCAACACGGGGAAACUCACCAGGUCCAGA